AGAGCCAGAGCAGGAUUCAACAUCCUCCUGGAAUCUGAGAAUGGACCACCUGGGGACAAGGAGGUCCAUGGGGCCCUGAGAGAAUGCUCAGAGGCGAGGAGGCGAGCAACUGUUUUAACCCCACCCCCCAGCUUUGGAUGUGUCAGCACCUGCUGGAGUUCCGGAAGUGGCUGGAGUUUAAUCUGAAGGCUGAUGCUUCUGUUUGCUUGUGGGAGCGGCAGAGGCUGCGUUGGGUCUUCAUUGCUGCACGCGGGCUUUCUCUAGCUGCGAGAGAUUGACAUUUACGGGGAUGGGGAGCUACGAACUACAAGAGACUUAAGAGCCACGUCAGAGCCACGUCAACAGUCACAAGUUUUCUUUUAGCACAGGAGAAACAGCAGCACUCUAUGAAGAUGAAAAGCAGGACAUGGAAUGAUUUCUUUUGGGGGCUACAAAACUAAGACAAUGAUGAGGCUCCCUGGACAGCCUUUCCUGCUUAGGUCUUCUGAAGGGAAGUACCAUGCACCCCCCUAGCACAGUCUUUUCUUACUAUCUGGGUGUGAAUCGUGAUUUUUAAUGGAAAUCUCUUCCUUGAGGUAAAUAACUACCACCCAUCUUUUUUUUUUUUUUUUUUUUUUUUUUUUUUUUUUGCGGUACGCGGGCCUCUCACUGUUGCGGCCUCUCCCGUUGCGGAGCACAGGCUCCGGACGCGCAGGCUCAGCGGCCAUGGCUCACGGGCCCAGCCGUUCCGCGGCAUGUGGGAUCUUCGCGGACCAGGGCACGAACCUGUGUCCUCUGCAUCGGCAGGCGGACUCUCAACCACUGCGCCACCAGGGAAGCCCACUACCACCCAUCUUUAAUGGGAGGACCUGAAAGCAUCUAAGGAGAAUACAAAUUCUAGAGUCUGUCUAGAAAUAACAUGAAAAAUUCCUCUCCUGAGUUUGCUGCCCUUCAA